rnacentral:lncRNA from 1 species
AAUUCAUUCACUCAGUCAAGAGCUCUUUAACGGAACACUUACUCUGUACCAGGUUCAGUUGUCGGCACUGGAGAAAUCACACCAAGAAGGGUGCAGAGACCCAUUGCAAGUGACUUGGGAAGAGGAAAACUCAGUCAUGGGCAGACACCCAGUUAAAUGGAAAGCAGAGUUAAAGGAGGACAGCGGGAAGAAUGAGAUCUUGAAAAAUCCAUCAGCAAUUUCGGGACGAUAACAUGUGCACAGAUGAUAUUUUUUAAAAACCUGGGAGAAAGGAGUCAGUGGGAGACACAAUUUGAGAGCUACUGUGGCACUCUGGGGACCAAACUAAAGUGUUUGCACCACAUGCUGGGGUAAUUCAAUCACUCAGCAAGCACUGUUUGAGCACCUGUGUUUCUCUGGCCACACUAGUCUCCCUGCUGUUCCUUGUCCUCACCAGGCAUGCUUCCCUACUCUGCCUUUAAUCUGCAGGGGGAUUAUCAUAGCUCAUUGUAACCUUGAACUCCUGGGCUCAAGCGAUUCUCCCAUUUCAGCCUCCCCAAUAGAUGGGACUACAGGCCUGCACCACCAUGCCAGGCUAUUUUUUUUUCUAUUUUGGUAUAGGUGGGGUCUCACUAUGUUGCCCAGGAGGUCACUAUC